rnacentral:lncRNA from 1 species
UUUAAUGAAAAAAGCAUAAAACAAUAAACAAUUGUGUAUUACAUUAAUACCAUUAUAACUAAAAUAAAUAUGCUGUAUAAAUACAAGCAGAUGAAAAAUAGCAUUAUAGUUACAAAUAGUCAGAAAAUACCAUGCAAUAUUUGAUUGAUAUGUUGUGACGUUACACAAAGACGUGAAAAUUUAAACUUCCAAAUAAAAUUCGACAAUUUUCUACUGCAAAAACAUUGAAAUUACAUUAGAGCAACACAAUGGCUCUCAAACAGAAUAGCACUAGUUUAUUUCCAGUUCUAAAAAAACAUAAACGAUGAUACUUCAAACAAAUAUUGUUGUCCAAUUGGAUUACACUAUGUUAAUAAAAGCCAUGCAGAGUAUAAAUUUCUUACUAAAGAAGAGUCUUAGACCUCUCAGCUGCCGCUUAAAACCCAAUCAAGGUUUUUACAAAGUUUUGCAAUCUGUUACAAAAGUAUUUUUUGUUGAGCAUAUCUUCACUCUUAUUCAAUACCUACACACUUUGAUAAGUUUUGAAAUUAAAAGAUAUAUUCAAAGUUAUUUUGUCCCAAAACAAUAAGUUAAGUUCUUUUGAACUUACCGACAAAAUAUUGUUGCUUUUAAACAUGGUAUUUGAAUAGAUAUCUAAUUUACUGCAUGAUUAUAAAAUUAACAUUAGAAAUCAAUACCAAAAUUUUAUUAAAUAUGAAAAAUUUGCAUUUUUUCAUUGCUGUUAUUUAAUUUUGUAUGCAGUAAGUGUAUGUGCAGCAAAAUAUCCAAACAAAUAGGAAACUGCACUGUUUAAAUAUUUUGGUAAUAAGAAAAACCUAACAAGUCAAAAAACAUUUAAUUUUAAACUUUUAUAACAUAAACAUUAACAUAAAUCAACCAUACAAAAUAGAGAUAUAUAAUAAAUUCAACAAUGGGAACAUGCUACCAUUACAAGGAGAUGUAUGUAAACUGUAACAACAAGGUCAUAAUCACAUUAGAAGGGGGAAAUGUAACACAAGAUUUAUAUCAACUGUUACAUUGGUCAUAUACCAUCAUUGUAAAAGGGUGGCUACACAAGAUUUAUUCAAACUGUAACAACAAGGUCAUAAUCAUAUUACAAGGGGGAGAUGUUACAUACGAUGUUAACUUUAACAUUGGGAACAUGCUACCAUUACAAGGUAAUGUUACAUAUGAUGUAUGUCAACUAUAACGAGGUCAUAAUAUCAUUAGAAGGGGGGGAAUGUAACACAAGAUUUAUAUCAACAGUUACAUAGGUCUUAUACCAAUUCAAUGUAUAUUCGUAAAAGGGGGCUGCUACAUAAGAAUUUUGAAACUUUAUCAACAAGGUCAUAUACAAUAUAAGGGUGGGGGGAUAUAACAUGAGAUAUAUAUCAACUGAAACAUUAGGUAUAUACAUUGUGUACUUUAAUACAGUCUACCAUUAUAAAGGAGGGAGAGAUUUAUUCAAAUUACAGCAUUGGGCAUAUACAUAUUUUAUUUAAUUCUACCAUUAUAGGGGGGUAAUAAAAUUGAUAUAAACUUCUAAUGAGGGCAUAGUAAUUUUAUAAGGGGGAAGGUGUAACAUUGGACAUGUACUACCUUUGUAAAAAGAAUGUUACAUGUGAUUAUUGUCAAUUAUAAUAAUGAGGAUAUGAUACCAUUAGAUGUAACAUAAAUUAUGUUAUGGUUGAUAUCAGUAGUAAUGUUAUAAUAUCUCCAAUGUUAGAGAUAUCUUAUUUCAAGUUCGAGAUGAAUCAUUCAGACGUACAUUACCUGUUACAAUUUGACAUGAAGACAUUGCAAGGGGUGUAAAUAUCUUAUAUACAGGUAUAUAAACAGCAUACAUUUAUAUACAUUUAUAUGAAGCACUAAUAAGUAACAAUUAAAACAGGUCUUUCUACUAGUCAUUACAAUAACACAGUACAUUUACCAAUAUAAUUCACUGCCUGUUCAACAUGAACAAUUUUAAGUAAAGUAUGCUUAUUGUAUACUAGGUAUUAUUCAAAAAUUCUGAAGAAAAAAAAAAUUAACAAGCAUUAUAAGAGUAUUGCAUGACAAUACAUAGUUACAAACUGGUUAAAAAUUCAUCAUACUGGAACAAAAUGCUAACAUUAUCCAAAAAUGCUAACAUUAUCCAUAGUUGUCAUGGUAUUUAACUAUAUAACAAAUAUUAAGACAAUAUCUUCAAGCAUGACGAAAAAGUGUGGAAAACUGAUUUGCCAGGCUGACAGAUGGACAGACAGACGGACAGAGUGCAAACCUUAAGUUCCCUUCGACUUAGUCAGUAGGGAAAUAAAGAAAAGAUUUACAAAUUAAAGAUAAUGGUAUAAUUCUUGGCUUUCACAUUUGUUUCAAAUCUAUUAAUGGUAUGUAUACAGUUUAUUCAUAUUUUUAUUGUUCAAUACCAAAAACAAGUUCUCAUUAAAAAAAGUCUUAUAAUUUACUUAGAAGUUAUAUUGGUCUAUGAGUAAGAUGUGUGAGCUUUAGAAGUUAUAUUGAUCUAUGAGUAAGAUGUGUGAGCUUUAUCUGAGAUGUAUUUUUAAUGGAUAUGGAAUUAAGUUUUGUUCUUUGUAAUAUGAAGUGGUAAAAUGAUUGUGUAUUAAUAAACAAAGUUAUAAAUAUACACAUAUAUUUGUGUUUUUUCCCUUCAGAUUCUUUUUACAAAUAUAAAAAAGAAUCUGAAGCAAAAAAAAAAA